AGUCGGAAUCGCUAGUAAUCGCGGAUCAGCAUGCCGCGGUGAAUACGUUCCCGGGCCUUGUACACACCGCCCGUCACACCAUGAGAGUCGGGAACACCCGAAGUCCGUAGCCUAACCGCGAAGGGGGCGCGGCCGAAGGUGGGUUCGAUAAUUGGGGUGAAGUCGUAACAAGGUAGC
rnacentral:rRNA from 1 species